rnacentral:pre_miRNA from 1 species
AAUGACACGAUCACUCCCGCUGAGCGAGACGCCCGACAGCCAUCGGGAAUAUCGUGUCGGUCC